GUGGGGAAUUUUGGACAAUGGGCGCAAGCCUGAUCCAGCAAUGCCGCGUGCAGGAAGAAGGCCUUCGGGUUGUAAACUGCUUUUGUACGGAACGAAACGGUCCUGGCUAAUAUCCGGGGCUAAUGACGGUACCGUAAGAAUAAGCACCGGCUAACUACGUGCCAGCAGCCGCGGUAAUACGUAGGGUGCGAGCGUUAAUCGGAAUUACUGGGCGUAAAGCGUGCGCAGGCGGUGCUGUAAGACAGGCGUGAAAUCCCCGGGCUCAACCUGGGAAUUGCGCUUGUGACUGCAGUGCUGGAGUACGGCAGAGGGGGAUGGAAUUCCGCGUGUAGCAGUGAAAUGCGUAGAUAUGCGGAGGAACACCGAUGGCGAAGGCAGUCCCCUGGGCCUGUACUGACGCUCAUGCACGAAAGCGUGGGGAGCAAACAGGAUUAGAUACCCGGUAGUCC
rnacentral:rRNA from 1 species